GCUGGAGAGAAUGAGCUUGGAGCCGCAGGGCUUAAUCCCGCGCGGCUCAGAGAUGGGUUUCUGGACUCGCGAAGCAGCUGCAACAAGGCAUCACUCACUGUAUAAGUAUUUCCAUUUCUGAGAGCAAAAGGAAGAACUUAAGCGGGCGGCACUUGGAGUGUAAAUUGCUUUGUAGUAUUUAAAGGCAGAAUGGAUCCUGGGCAGCCGAGCUGCAACAAACCGGCAGGACUUCCUGUGAAAUCAUGACCACCAUGUGCUCUUUCAGCCUCUAUCAGUUCCUACCUCUAAGCACCUGAGAGCCAAAGCAAACCACAGGAAACCACAGACUCAAACUAAACGUCAGCUUUUCCCGGCUCUCAAGCCUGCUGGUCCCUGAACUAAAACUCACAUUAUCAACUCUACUGGUUCUUAGGCCUUUGGAGUCAGACUGGAACUACAGCAUUGACUCUUCCGGAACUCCAGCUUACUGACUACAGAUCUUGGAACUUUUCAGCUUCCACAACCAUAAUGAAAGCCAAGCAUAUUCCAUCAUUUCCUAAAACCAAGAUAGAGCACAUAUGGGAACUUGUGAAAUAAGGAUGCCCUGCGGUUGUUUUCAGGACUGAAGACAACAGCUCCACGAUGAAACCAAAGCACAAAGAGAGAAAGAAAAGAAAGAGAAAAAAGGAAGAAAGAAAAGAAAGAUGAAAGAAAGAAAGAGAAAGAAGAGAGAGGGAGAGAGAGAAAGAAAGAGAAGGAAAGAAAGAAGGAAGAAGAAAGAAAGAAAGAAAGAAAGAAAGAAAGAAAGAAAGAAAGAAAGAAAGAAAGAAAGAAAGAAAGAAAGAAAAAAGGAAGGAAGGAAAAGAAACACAUGGAAAGUGGUAUGUAGACCUGCCAUUUCAAUCUAUACCUUCUGCCUCUGUGCUUCUAUACCUCCUGAGUUUAAUAUAUACUUCUUUAUUUAAACAGUUUUAAUAUAUAAAUGCUAAUUUUUCUAUGAUAUAAUUUUAUAAUAAAUAAAUAAAAUUAGCUUGCUAUCAAAAUAUCCCAGUUCAUAAUUUUAUAACUUCACCUCUAGACCAUGAGUAACCCUCAACCUACCAUCUCCUCUUUUUGGACAUCUUUGGUAUUUGUAUCCCUGUUUCUUGGUCUCUAAAUAUCUCUUCUUUUAUUCAUGUGUUACCUUUCCUAAUGACAGAACCCUUUUCUUAAAAAAAGAAUUAUGAGUUAGUGUAAUGUAUAAAUAGAGACAUUAGAUGAAGGACAAAAUAAUAUUCUCCAAAAAGUUAUUUGAGGUGGCUUAGUGAAGUUGAAAAAGCAUAGUCUUUGGUAUCACAUAGACAUAAAUGUACCUUUGGGCAAAUCUAUAAACCUCCCUAAACCAGCUUUUACAAACAAAAUUGUGUUCAUUAUAGGAAUUAAAGGUAUCAAUUUCACAAAAUCACGGGCAGUAAAUUGAUAGACCUCAGAACCUAAGGCACGGGUCUGAGGAAACGAAAGCACAAAGAAACAGAGAGAGAGAGGGAGAGAGACGAAGGAAAAAGAAAGAACCAAAGAAGGAAAGGAAAGGAAAGGAAAGGAAAGGAAAGGAAAGGAAAGGAAAGGAAAGGAAAGGAAAGGAAAGGAAAGGAAAGGAAAGGAAAGGAAAGGAAAGGAAAGGAAAGGAAAGGAAAGGAAAGGAAAGGAAAGGAAAGGAGAAAAGAAAAAAGAAAAGAAGGGAGGGAGGAAGGGAGGGAAGAAAGGAAGGAAUGAUUAGAGGAAACUCAGAGGUUAUUCUCUCUGUAUCUCUAGUUUCCAUUUUAUUGAUUCUGCUUUCUCCAGACAGGCUCCCUUUGUAUAUCACCUUGCAUGGUAAAGUGCAGAGAGCUCCAUCAGAGAAAUGCAGUUAAAAUCCAGUAGAUACCACCGUACACCUGAAAGACUUGUGAACAAACAGAUGACAGAAAAACAAAACAAAGCAAAACAGAACCUGAGAAUUUGAAUUGCUGCUUCUUUGGACCUUUUAAGUUGCAUUAUCCCAUAAAAUGUGGUGGAUUCAAUGUUGUAUGGCCUGUAAAACUAAGUAAUGAAGGCUGAUAUGUACCCACCUGGCUCUGUCUUGGGAUCACACAACUUGGGAGCCAAAACAGUGAGACUUAUAAGAAUCUCAAGGAUGGUGUCCCAAGGCAAACUCAUGGCAAGAUCAAGAAAGAGAAUGGCCUGUCUUGACAAGAUUUGUGGUUUUGGCUUUCGUCUGAUGGAAUGAAUUGUACACAAAUACACAGAAAUCCCACAAAUAUUAAAAUAAUUGUAUCAACUUGUAAGAAAAAGGGAAAGAAAUAGCUUAAAAUGGAAUAUUGCUAAGCCCUCAAACCUUUACAAGCAGGAAAUAGGUGUAAACAGGCUUAGGAAAAUGGAAGGUGGACUCAGGGCAGAUUGAGGAGAUCUUGGAGUGCAGCAAAGAGCCAUAGAGAGCAAUUUCCAGGGAGUAGGACUGAACUCUAACCAAAUAAUUGGCAGCAUGUGCCUGGCAUUUCAGGAUUGACAUGGACCGGUGACUACUGUGUUCCUUCCCAUUCCCCACCCUUUUGUGUAGGAUUGUCUGUAGCAGUUUCCCAAUGCCUGUUCCUCCACUUGACGUUGGGUAUUUGGAGAACAAGAAAAAUUCUCUUUUUAGGUCAGAUGUGUGACAUGUAUCACAUUGUAAAAAAGAGUGCUCAAUGAGCUGUAUUUCAGGAAUUGCACUUAAGGGGAAUUAUUUUUACCUAUAUUGGAUUAAUAUGAUAAGAUUUUGAACUUUGAGCUUAUGUAAUUAUGAAGUGAGACCUUUAGUCUUGGGGAAUGACUGUAUUUUAUAUGCGAGAGGUAUAUAAAUCACUGUGGCCUGAAGAUAGACUGUGGCAGAUUGUAUUUUUCAAAGAUUUCCUGUCACACUUUUUUUUUAUUCUUUAUUUUUCUCUUUCUUUCUCUUUCCUCUUUCUCUUUCCCUUCCUCCCUUCCUUCCUUCUUUCCUUCCUUCCUUCCUUCCUUCCUUCCUUCCUUCCUUCCUUCCUUCCUUCUUUUCUUUCUUUCUUUCUGAGAGGGUCUCACUCUGUUUCCUGGCUAGAGUGGUGUCACAUUCAUAGCUCACUGUAGCUCAAACUCCUGAGUGCAAACAAUCCUCCUACAUCAGCCUCCCAAGUAGCUUGGACCACAGGUGUGCAUCCACUCCUGGCUAAUUUUUUAAUUUUAAUUUUUGUAGAGACGGGGUCUCACUUUGUUGCUCAGACUGAUCUUGAAUUCCUGGCUUCAAGAGAUCCUGCUGCCUCAACCUCUAAACUUGCUGGGAUUGCAGGUGUGAACCACCAUGCCCAGCUACUUUCUUUUUCUUACAAUAUGCCUUUGAUGCUCUUCCCAUCAAGAGGUAUUCCUUUCCCUUGAAUAUGGGCAAGGCUGUGAUUAUUAAUGCUAUAUGACUUUUGAGAGUAGGUCAUGAAGCAUGAUACAUUUUCCUAGUUCAUUUAGGAUGCUUGCUCUUAAUACCUAGCCCCUAUGCUUGUAUAAGUCCAAGAGACCUGUUGUGGGGAGGCUCACAUGAAGAAGAACGCAGGCACCUAGCCUACAGUCUGAUUGAGCUCUCAUCUGAUAACCCAUAAGAACUUGAGAGCCUUGUGAGUAAACCAUCUUGAAUCUUUCAGGACCCAGUUGAAACACUUCAGCUGAUGCUGCAUGGAUCAUUGCGGAUUUGUGAGCAAAAUAAAUUAAUAUAGCUUUUUGUUUUAAUUAAACAAUAUUUUUUGAGACAAGAUCUCAUUUUGUCACCCAGGUGGGAGUACAGUGGCACAUUCACAGAUCACUGUAGCCUCAAAUUCCUAAGCACAGGAGGUCCUCCCACCUCAGCCUCCCCAGUAGCUGAGACCACAGCAUGUGCCACUGUGUCUGGCUAAUUUUUUAUUUUUUUGUAGAAACGGAGUCUUGCUAUGUUGCCCAGGCUGGCCUCAUGUGAUCCACUUGCCUCAGUCUUCCAAAUUGUUGGGAUUACAAGUGUGAGGCACUGCACUGAGCCCAAUAUUCCUUUUUAAGCUACUAAGUUUUGGACUGAUUUGCUUCCCAGCAGUAUACGAUUGAUAAAACACAGAAUAUAGAAUAAAAUUAAUCUCUUAUGUUGUCCUAUGAGGCUUUGUGAGAUUUAGUUUCUACCAACACCCCAAAGUCAUGUCAUACCAUUUUUCACUGUGCUUACUUUGCUUCACUGACUUUUCUCCUGUUUUCUAAAACUAGCUAGUUCUUAUCUUCAGGCUUUGUCAUUGUCAUUCCCUGCUGAGAAUAUUGUCUGUCCAAAUCUUGUAAUUCAGACUCAAAAAUAGUCUGUGGCCACUCAAUCUAAAGUAACCCACCACAAACUCUAGCCCAUCUCCCUAUUUAUUUUCAUCAUGAUAUUUAUAUCUAUCUCAUCUAAAUUUUAUCUAUUUGUCAUCUAUCUAAUUGAAAUUUCAUGUUUCUUUACUACUAAUACGCAAGCUCUGUUAAGACAGAAGUAUUUAGUUUAAUUAGAUCCCAUUUGUCAAUUUUGGUUUUUGUUGCCAUUGCUCUUGGUGUUUUAGACAUGAAGUCUUUGCCCAUGCCUAUGUUCUGAAUGGUAUUGCCUAGGUUUUUGUCUAGGAUUUUUAUGGUUUUAGGUCUAACAUUUAAGUCUUUAAUCCAUCUUGAAUUAAUUUUUGUAUAAGGCGUAAGGAAGGGAUCCAGUUUCAGCUUUCUACAUAUGGCUAGUCAGUUUUCCCAGCACUAUUUCUUAAACAGGGAAUCCUUUCCCCGUUUCUUGUUUUUGUCAGGUUUGUCAAAGAUCAGAUAGUUGUAGAUAUGUGGCAUUAUUUCUGAGGGCUCUGUUCUAUUCCAUUGGCCUAUAUCUCUGUUAUAGGGACACUUUUACACUGUUGGUGGGACUGUAAACUAGUUCAACCACUGUAGAAGUCAGUGUGGCGAUUCCUCAGGGAUCUAGAACUAGAAAUACCAUUUGACCCAGCCAUCUCAUUACUGGGUACAUACCCAAAGGAUUAUAAACCAUGUUGCUAUAAAGACACAUGCACACGUAUGUUUAUUGUGGCACUAUUCAUAAUAGCAAAGACUUGGAACCAACCCAAAUGUCCAACAAUGAUAGACUGGAUUAAGAAAAUGUGGCACAUAUACACCAUGGAAUACUAUGCAGCCAUAAAAAAUGAUGAGUUCAUGUCCUUUGUAGAGACAUGGAUGAAGCUGGAAACCAUCAUUCUCAGCAAACUAUUGCAAGGACAAAAAACUGAACACCACAUGUUCUCACUUGUAGGUAGGAAUUGAACAAUGAGAACACAUGGACACAGGAAGGAGAACAUCACACACCGGGGCCUGUUGUGAGGUGGGGGGAGCGGGGAGGGAUAGCAUUUGGAGAUAUACCUAAUGUAAAUGACGAGUUAAUGGGUGCAGCACCCCAACAUGGCACAUGUAUACAUAUGUAACAAACCUGCACGUUGUGCACAUGUACCCUAGAACUUAAAGUAUAAUAAAAAAAAAAGAAAAAAAAGAAAGACAGAAGUAUUGUUCAUCUUGUUUUCUUCCCUAAUCACGUUACCUAGAACAGUGCCUAUCAGAUAGUAGGCACUCCACAAAUAUUUGUUGACUUAAUGAACCAGUGGAAAUAAAUAUUAAUUCAGUUUUACAUUACACAGCAAAAUAGAAAUCCAAUAUUUAAUCCAGUUCAUAUUACAAAAUAAUACCUUCUUUUUAAAAAUUAAAUCCAUUAAAUUGACAUAGAAAAAUCUUCACCAUCUCAUGACUUUAUAAAAACAAAAUUGGUUUCUAUACCACUUGGAUUAUUUCUACAAAUUCUAUUUAUAUGGUUUGUGUCAAUAAACCAUAGAAAAUAAAAUUUUCAAAUAAAACUUAUAUAUUUGUUAUUUGAUCUUGUUCUACUUAUAUGAAUCUUUUAUUUCAUGCAAAUAAAACCCAAAAUAUGAUUCAGCAACUUUCAGUCUGUUUUUAGAGGCAGAGUCUUGAUAUUUCACCCAGGCUGGAGUGCAGUGUCACAAUCAUGGCUCACUUCAGGCUCAACCUCCUAGGCCCAAAAGAUUUAUUCACCUCAACCUCCUGAGUAGCUGGGAUUACAGGUGUGCACCACCAUGCCUGGAUAAGUUUUAUAGUUUUUGUAGACACAAGGUCUCGCUAUACUGCCCAGGCUGGUCUGGAACUCCUGGACUCAACUAAUCCUUCCACCUCAGCCUCCCAAAGUAUUGGAAUUACAGGUGUAAUCCACCAUGCUUGGCCAAUUUUCAUUCUUUAAUGUUAGGCUUUGAGUUUAGUAUCAAACUUUAAAACAAAAGCAACAACAACAAAAAACAAAAAACAUUUCCAAAAAAGAAAAAAAGUACUGGUAGCAGUCAAUAAAAGAAAAGACUCCAAUUUCCAGGAAUUUGGAAUGUGGAAUCCUGGCAUUAUAGAGAUACAGCUUUUUCAUCUAAUUAAUGUAUAAAAUAGUCAAUACUUUCAUUUUAUUUUCUUGGAGUUUACUCCUUUUCACCCUGAAGCCUGGGUAACAAAGCAAGUGCACAAAAAUCGUUAGAAUAACACUUUUCAACAAGAAGCAGUCCCAAAGUAAGUGAAAGGAAUUUCUUUAGUGAUUUUCUCCCUGAGGGGGAGCAGUAGUCUGAAAUCUCACUGGUAUCUAUUCUGAAAGAAUCAGGGGAUUUAUUUAUGUCAUAAUCUAGUAUUUGCAGCCUGCUUUGAUUUUCCUCGGGAUUUCCUUGGAUAUAUUUUACUGAGAGAAGUGUGAAAAGUACUUCUGAUUUGAGAAGCAUGAAAAGAAAGCCUCAGGCCAGGAGACCAUCUUCUACUCUGAGUCAUCCAUUUGCCUGUUCUGAACAACCUCUACUAUUGGCUCUUGCACAAAGAUCUCCUGAGAGUAGUUGUUGGUAGACUCUAAUUGCCUACUAUUUUUAACUCAUUCCCUUACUCCUUUGAUAAGAGUUGAGAGCCCAAGACUUUAAUGGAUUUUGCACGUAUGUCUUAUUCUAUUUACCUAAUCAUAAUGCAAUUUCACUUCAGCACAAACACAGCCAUAGCAAUCAUGACUUAAUUUUAAUUCCUAACUCACUGUAAGUAAGCCAGCUUAUGCUUUUACUAACCAAUUUCCAAUGCAUAUAAAUAAUAACACAUAUUUGGCAUAUCACAGUGCUUAGCUCUUUCUGAUGAGCAAAAGAUUAUAUAUUUAUUGGUGCUUAUCUUGAUGUUUCACAAGAUUUUUCAUUUAUUUCUAUACUGUUCCCUUAGGUUACUAGGUGCAGUCACUUUCCCUACCACCUGCUUUCCACUAUCUGCUCCUUAUCUUUUUCUUUAGAACCUUGCUUCACCUUCUUCCUCUAUUUGUGACCGCUCUGCAGGUGAUCAGGCUUCCUCCACUUUCCUUACCUUCUGAUUGUCUCAUACCAUCUUCCAUCAUUUUCCACACAUAUUACUUGCUUUAUACCAUACUGUAUUUGUAAAACACAUAAAAGAUUGCUAGUAUUUUUAUUUUAUAGAUGAUGAAACUGAAGUAUGAAAGAUAAAUGACUCACCAGAGGCUAUGAUUUGUGGGCCUUUUAGUGGGUUUAAUAGGAGGAAAGCAAAGGUGAAAUGCCAGAAUAGCGAAGGUGGAGAAAUUUGAGAUGAGUGAUAGAGACCUAAGAAAGUGGCAGUUAAAAUGGUCCAGGGCAUAAAAUGAUGUGAGGAAUAGUAGAAAGAAAAGGAGAAAAAUACCUUAAAAUUGAUGACUCUUCUGUCCUAAUAACUUCAAAGUGCAUUUCAAUUUGAAACCUUUAUCACCUCAUUGCGUGGAGGAGACAAAGGAAAGAAAACAUACAGAGCAUUUGUCUCUUCCUGAAGUUUCCUCAAUUCAUAAAAUCCCUAAGACACUAAGAGAAGAAAAUACUGUGAACAUGUUUAGUUUGAUAUUGGUUAUUGUCAUUUCUUUUCAUUCCUUCAAAUACAUUUUAUAAAUUCAAUUUCACAUAUUAUUUAACCUCAUCUACCUGACAUGAUAUUGUUCUCCUGACACAUCCUGUUUAUUAAAUAUUAAUCACAUAUUUUA
rnacentral:lncRNA from 1 species